rnacentral:tmRNA from 1 species
GGGGGUGACCUGGCUUCGACGGGGUUGGUGAAGCCGUGGUUGCGUGCUCAGGUCCUGAGUCCUGGUGAAACACUCGGGAAAUCUCCAACUGCCAACAACAACCUGGCUCUCGCUGCGUAAGGCUUAGGCCUUACCCAGCAGUGCUCACGAGGCAGCCCGCCCGGGGCGGCACGUGAGUAACGCAAAUCUGGGCUAGCCCGUCGGUGCGUCUUCCGGCGGCGGGCAAAACUCUAGGAGACUCAUUCGACGGUAGGCGGCCUCUCGGCCAGCCGGCGGAGACAUCAAUCGAGAGGAUACGCACGUAGAGACCGUGGUCGAUCUAGUCUCGGACAGGGGUUCGACUCCCCUCACCUCCACUC